rnacentral:lncRNA from 1 species
CGGAAGUGCUGCGGCAAUGUUGCUCUUGGAGAUAGCUGGCGUUAGGGAUCCGCCUUCUCUCCCAGAGGCGGGGCAGGUUUCUGUUUGGUUGCCGCCCUAACGGCCAGAACUAAAGCACCUUGCAAGGAAUGAAGUUGGUUCUUGAAGUCCGUGCUGACUGGCUGGGCGCAUUUGCGCAUUUGCUUCUCUGGCUGCAAAAUGGCCCGCAACAGCACUCACUAAUUUGUUGCUAACUUCAGGAACUGUGCGGACAGGUCUCUGAGGCUUCUGAGCCGCGCUAUGUCCAGUAGAUCUGGGCGCCUCAGAACCUGUCACAGCCGACGGAAGCGUUUAUCUGAGUUUCUUGUUUCUUCCCAACCUUUUGAUUUUCGCACCAUUACGCGCUCAACUAUGCCUCUUCUUUUGUCCUAUGGUCUCAACUAAUUAAAGGAAGAAAAGCAAUGCAUGUGUGUGUGUAAUUUUAAAGAAACUAUGCUGUCUUAUAGAAAACCAAACCAUCAUUUUUAUCUUUUGUACCAGGUAUUCAAGUAUGUUUUGAGCACCGACGGGCUGUGAACUGGACUGUGCUGAAAGCUCCUCUCCCUCUUCUCUCUUUAAGCCCUUUAUAUUUGACAUCAGCUUCCCCCACAUUCUCCAAAGCUUCUCUCACAAAUAAAGGCGGGGCGUGGUGGCUCACGCCUGUAAUCCCAGCACUUUGGGAGGCCAAGGCAGAUGGAUCACUUGAGAUCAGGAGUUCGAGACCAGCCUGGCCAAUACGGUGAAACCCCUUCUCUACUAAAAAUACAAAAAUCAGCCGGGCAUGGUGGCACACGCCUGUAAUCGCAGCUACUCGGGAGGCUGAGGCAGGAGAAUCGCUUGAACCCGGGAGGCGGAGGUUGCCGUGAGCCGAGAUCACGCCACUGCACUCCAGCCUGGACGACAGAGCAAGGCUUGGUCUCAAAACAAACAAAAAACAAAAUAAGUGAGAGAGGAAACUUUACUUGUUCUUUUUCUUUUAGUUUAGUAAAUGCUGCAAUUUGAUUUUAACGAAUGUUGGUCUUUUUAUGGGCCUAUAUAAGUGUAUUAUUUUUGAAACAAAAAAUGAAAAUUACCUAUUUAGUAUGAAACCUUUGCUUAUCUUUUGCUGUGUAUUUGCUCAAUUCUGAAUUGAACUUGAGAUUGUCACACACAGAUUGCAUUUUCAACUGAAAUGAGAUGAUUUUUGUCUUUACUCUUAAAACUUAGUGAGAAAAAGCUUGCUUGAACAAGAAGUUUUAAAGUAUGUCAAAAUGUUUAUUACUUUCUUAAAAAUGUCAAGCUGCUCUUCUUUCUCAGAAAUCCAAAACUUGUAGAAGCACAGAUCAGGCCAGGUGCUGUGGCUGACGCCUGUAAUCCCAGCAUUUUGGGAGGCUGAGGCAGGCAGAUCACCUGUGGUCAGGAGUUCAAGACCAGCCUGGCCAACAUGGUGAAACCCUGUCUCUACUAAAAAUACAAAACUUAGCCGGGCGUGGUGGCGGGCGCCUGUAAUCCUAGCUAUUUGGGAGGCUGAGGCAGGAGAAUCGCUUGAACCCGGGAGGCGGAGAUUGCAGUGAGCCAAGAUUGCGCCACUGCAUUCCAGCCUGGGCAACAGAGCAAGACUCCGUCUCAAAAAAAAAAAAAAAAAAAAAAAGAAGGAGAAACACAAAUAAGUACAUUUCAUCUUAUAUCUACAGUCAUACAUUCACAAAGUUCUUCCUCUUUUCUCAAAGCCAGGUGCUCAGGCUGAGAAGAUUCAAGGAAAGGGUUCCUCACGUAGUUAUACAGUUGUGUUCCAGGGGAAGGAAAAUAUUGUUCGGUUUUGUUCUGCAAUUCCCCACGGUGGUUUUCGGUAAGACUUGAGACUUCCUUAUUCUAAAGUCCAAGCAGCAGUGGAAACAUUUCAAGAUCCCUUUUUGCAAUAUAACUUUUCCAAAGAUUCAAUAUUUAUUUAAACCCAAAAAUCUUGUCACUCGAAGUAAAACGAUUUUCUCCAGGGCCUGAAGAUCCUUGUUCAACUAGUUCAUGUGAUGAAAAUGUCUGUUAAGUAGGUGAUAUGGUUUGGAUGUUUGUUCCCUCCAAAUCUCAUGCUGAAAUUUGAUUCCCAGUGUCGUAGAUGGGACCUCGUGGGAGGUGAUUGGAUCAUGGGGGCAGAAUUCUCAUGAAUGGCUUAGCACCAUCCCCUUGGUGAUAAGUGAGUUUUCACUCAGUUCACUUGAGAUGUGGUUGUUUUAAGAGUCUGUGACCUCUUCUAUUUCUCUCUUGCUCCCACUCUUGCCAUGUGACAUGCUGGCUCCCCAUCACCUUCCGCCAUGAUUGUAAGCUUCUAGAGACCUCACCAGAAACUGAUGCCAGCACCAUGCUUCCUGUAAAGCCUCCAGAACCAUAAGCCAAUUAAACCUCUUUCUUUAUAAAUUACCUAGCCUUGGGCAUUUCUUUACAGCAAUGCAAAAAAAAACAAAAAUGCUGGUUUCCACAGCCAUUCUUUAUCUUC